CUGCUCCUAUAGCUUUCAUUUUUCACUCCUUUACUUCCCAGUAGAAUCAGUCAAAGGAGAGAAUCAGAAAGCAAAAAAAAAAAAAAAAAAACAAUACCAGAGUUCAGACUUCAUAGUUGAAAAAAGGCUUAUUACUAAACUAUACUAGCUAUGGAAUUCUUAUCUAUUUUUUUGGAAAAAGUCACAGAUUGCUUGAUGCAGCCAGUUGCGCGAGGGUUUGGGUAUUUAUUUUACUACAAGAGUAACAUCAGAUCUAUGGAAAAUGAAUCUGAGAAGCUGAAGAAUAUCAGAAGUGAGGUGCAGGAAAGAGAGGUGGCUGCCCGAAGAAACUUACAACGCAUUUCACGCAAUGGCGAGGAUUGGUUAAGUAGUGUUAAUACCACUAUUGAAGAAGUGGAAGAUGUAACGCAACGAGGUAGAAUUGAGGUUGAAAGAUAUGGUUGGUGUCCAAACUUGCGCUGAGCAGGAGAGCUAAGAAAGCAACACUGGAGUUGAUUCAACUUCAAAAAGAAGGCAACAAUCCUAUGGUUAUCUCCUUUGUUGAACUUCCAGUUCAAACUGAUCAGGCUAACAAUGGUGAGGAGUUUGACUCCAGAAAAUUGCAAGAGGAUGAGGUCAUGGCAGCUUUGAGAGAUGACGGGGUCACUAUGAUUGGGAUAUGUGGUCUGGGCGGUGUUGGUAAGACAACACUGGCUGAGAAAAUCAGACAAAAGGCGAAACAAGAAAGGUUGUUCGAUGAUGUUGUCAUGGUAAUUGUCAGUCAACAACCACACUUGAAAAAUAUUCAGGGUGAGAUCGCUGGAGGAGUCGGGCUGACAUUACCAGAGGCCGAUGAUUUGUGGAGUCGUGGAGAUCGGCUGCAUACAAGGUUAAUGGAAAUUCCCAACCACAACCAUCGGUGCAAAGUGACAUUCACAACGCGUUUCCGAUCUGUUUGUGAAGCAAUGGGAGCUCAGAAGAUAAUAGAAGUUGGAACGUUAUCUGAAGAUGAAGCAUGGAUGCUUUUCAGGCAGAAAGUCGGUGAUUUUGUCGACGAUUCUUCUCUUCAUGGCACAGCAAAAGAGGUUGCCAAAGAAUGCAAGGGGCUGCCGCUUGCAAUUAUUACAGUUGCAGGAGCACUAAAAAAGCAUAAAAACAAGCGUUCAUGUAACUGUACCCUUGAAGAAUUACGUGGUGCAGUAACAAUAAGUAUCCCUGACGUGCCCACAGAGUUGUAUAAACCUCUGAGGCUAAGCUAUGAUUACUUGGGAAGUAAUGAAGCCAAGUACCUCUUUUUGCUUUGUUCCUUGUUCGAGGAAGAUAGUAAUAUCUGUCCUGAAGAAUUACUUAGCUAUGAAAGGGGGCUUCGCAUCUUUCCGGAAAUCGCAAAUUUAGAACAAGCAAGAGAUAAGGUGUGUUCUCUGUUAGAAACAUUGGAAGAUGGUUUCUUGUUAUCCCAAGGUUCAAACAAAAAAUAUGUCAAAAUGCAUGAUGUGGUCCAUGCUAUGGCUAUAAGUAUUGCGUCUGAGGGAGAGCAUAACUUCAUGGUAAGCCACGAUGUGAACUCAGAAGAGCACUAGAGUUAAUUUGUAUAA